UGGAAUGCAUCACAUCACAAACAUAACACAUCAAGGAUGAACUUGUCACCAGUAGCCCUCUACAUAUCCAAUAGUGCCAGAACGUAGAAUGGGUCCUGGUCUUUCCCUUACAUAGCAUAAAAUAACAUUCCAAUGUGCCAGAACGUAGAAUGGGUCCUGGUCUUUCUCUUACAUAGUGCCAGCGAACGUAGAAUGGGUCCCACUAGUCUUUCAUUCCAUACCGUACAUAUCAUAUCAUCACAUCAUAGGUCGAGGGCUAUGGAUCAUCCAACGUUCAUCCACAUCAACAACAAAAUAUGCAAUGCAACAUAUUCGUGAAUUCUAAUGCAA
rnacentral:lncRNA from 1 species